GUGAGGAAUUUUCCGCAAUGGGCGAAAGCCUGACGGAGCAAUGCCGCGUGAAGGAUGAAGGCCUAUGGGUUGUAAACUUCUUUUCUCAGAAAAGAAUUAUGACGGUAUCUGAGGAAUAAGCAUCGGCUAACUCUGUGCCAGCAGCCGCGGUAAGACAGAGGAUGCAAGCGUUAUCCGGAAUGAUUGGGCGUAAAGCGUCUGUAGGUUGUUUAAAAAGUAUUCUGUCAAAGAUUAGGGCUUAACCCUAGAUAGGCAGAAUAAACUUUUAAGCUAGAGUUUGGUAGAGGCAGAGGGAAUUCCCGGUGGAGCGGUGAAAUGCGUAGAUAUCGGGAGGAACACGAAAUGCGAAGGCACUCUGCUGGGCCAAUACUAACACUGAGAGACGAAAGCGAGGGGAGCAAAUGGGAUUAGAUACCCCGGUAGUCC
rnacentral:rRNA from 1 species